GUGCAAUGAUGUAUAUUUGUCAACACAUCAUUCUGAGAGAAAAUUGUGAUGACUUCUGUGACUGAGCACA
ensembl:snoRNA SNORD63 Small nucleolar RNA SNORD63